CCUAUUAAAAAGGAAAAAUAAGUCCUUUUGGCAUUUGUGCUUCAUGGUUCUCAAGUAAACUUUUUUUCUAGUUCUGUUUAUUCUGCCAGAACAAACAGGUAGAUCUAGAUUACUCAAAGGUUGUUUCCUGCUGUCAGGUGGUUUUGAGGGUUCCAUUAAACUAUGAGUGGAGGCUCUUAUAAAUUGUAUAAGAUUUAUGAUGACUUGGUAUCAGUUAAAUUCUCAAGCUCGUCCAAAUUUUACGGGGAAUUCGAGGGUCUAUAGGGCGUACAAAAUGAUGUUUCAACUUUAUUUCUGACGGUGUCACUCACCUGGCUUUGAGUAACUGAACUUAUAUGUUAGUUUAGCAUUUUAAAGGAUUUUCAAUUCGGUUUGAUUAGUGGGGCAUAAAAUAUAUGUGCACCAAUUUAGAUAUGCUGGGUUGUUUUCUAACUGACUAUGUAGUAUUGUGAAAACUGAUAUGAUUCGCAUGAAAAUUUUAAGAGCACCUGAAUGCUGAUGUCUUGCUUAAAAUUGCCCCUGCUUUGGUUGUGUUACUUGUGCAUGCUUCCCUAGCCUCUCAUAAUCCCCUUUUUCUGUUUAUUUAUUUAUUAUUAUUAUUAUUUUAAUAUUGGUUAGUUAUAGAAGGUUCUCUUACCUUUCUUGAAUAAUGGGAAACAGGAUUUGUUCUUAGGUAAGCUAGCAGCCCGAGGGACUGAUGGAAUUGCAGAGUAAGCUUGUUUAUCUCUUUAUCUCUCAACUUCUUUUGAUGCUUGUUGAAAAGCAUGAAUAUGUCGCCAAGCAGUUUCAUUAGUUUUUUAAUUGAAUGACAAUGGUGCUAAGUUUAUUUGGUUGUAUGUCAAUGUUAAAGGCCAAAAGUUGUUAAUGGCUGGACUUAGCUGAUGAUCUUAAAAUGGUAUAAGUUUCUUACAUUCAGGAUUAAAUUGGGAUAUUGAGCUCCAACUAUAACUAAUUUUGAUAAGUUGUGAUCUCGCAGACCACAUCUAUUCAAAAUUCAUGUUUGCUAAUGUUCAUCUACACUUUGGAGUUUCGUUUUGUCUGUUUCUAUGUUGUUACUGUGGUUUCCUCCCUUGUAGGAAACUUAACAAACAAAGCCACAAGAACAUUUAUCAACUAUAGGAGUGACUACAGAUAACAUCUUACCAGAUAAUGGCCUUUCAACAUCUUCACUCUCACCAGUUCCAGUUGAGCAUGUUAAAUCUACUUAUGUAACAGAAUUUUUAAACGGGAGCUUCAGUGCCUUGGAUGGUACGAGCAGGAUGGAAGAUAAACAAAAUGGUGUCAUAGUAAACAAUGACCAACUACAGUCCCUACAGAACAAAUGAACGUAAGAUGUGCAGAAUCCCCUAGUUGCUCCCAGGUCACCACUGAACUGGAGGACCCUGGUCGUAGAACUGGUUCAAUUGAUUUUGAAGCAAACACUGACGUUGAAAUUGCUAAUGAUAAAGGAGAAUCAUGCUCCCCUACCAAUGAAUUGGCAUCAAAUGUUAUAUAUCCGCCUGAAUUGCCGGGAAGACCUGAGGUUGUAAACGUUGAAGCUCAGGCAUUUCAACAGCCAAAUGAUACCGAGACUUUCAACCCUCUUACUCAUGAAGACAUGGCGUCCAAUGACAUGCCUGCUUGAGAACAGUGGAUGGUCUUCUCGAACCAGAGCUGUUGCCAAAUAUCUCCAAAUUUUAUUUGAUAAAGAAGCGGUGCAUGGAAGAAAGGUUCGCCCAAUGGACAACUUAAUAGCAGGUAAACUCGUAAGGAAGCAUCAAGGAUGUUCUUUGAAACAUUGGUUCUAAAGACCAGAGAUUACAUCCACGUAGAACAGCCGAAGCCCUUUGACAAUAUUAGUAUAAAGCCAAAAAUAAAGCUCAUGAAAUCAGACUUCUGAACUCUUACACAGGAAAAGGCAGACAGAUACAAGUUGAAAACGCCCUUAGUGCAUAGUUUGCAGGUGCUUGGUGUUUAUUAUUUUUUCUACAUUAGAUUUUUGUUUUUUCUUUUUCCUUCUUUCUUUUUCUUCAAAAGUCGCCCUUUUAUUUUAAAUUUUUUGAUGGGGGAGGGGAUAAGGGGGUUGGGGUUGCUAGGAAUCAUGUCAUAUCUAGUUUUUGUGUAAUUGGUAGAUGUUUUAACAGUGCAAUCUGAGGGCAUAUGUAUCAUCCUGUUGAUUGUAGCAACAAGGUUGUAACAUGGAUCAUAUUUACAUGUAUAUAUCUGUAAAAUAUUAUCAUUUGCAAUUAAAGAAGCUAAUUAAUCUA